AAUAGAUACCCAGGUAGUCCACGCCGUAAACGAUGAGUGCUAAGUGUUAGGGGGUUUCCGCCCCUUAGUGCUGCAGCUAACGCAUUAAGCACUCCGCCUGGGGAGUACGGUCGCAAGACUGAAACUCAAAGGAAUUGACGGGGGCCCGCACAAGCGGUGGAGCAUGUGGUUUAAUUCGAAGCAACGCGAAGAACCUUACCAGGUCUUGACAUCCCGCUGACCGCUAUGGAGACAUAGCCUUCCCUUCGGGGACAGCGGUGACAGGUGGUGCAUGGUUGUCGUCAGCUCGUGUCGUGAGAUGUUGGGUUAAGUCCCGCAACGAGCGCAACCCUUGAGAUUAGUUGCCAUCAUUCAGUUGGGCACUCUAAUCUGACUGCCGGUGAUAAACCGGAGGAAGGUGGGGAUGACGUCAAAUCAUCAUGCCCCUUAUGACCUGGGCUACACACGUGCUACAAUGGACGGUACAAACGGUUGCCAACCCGCGAGGGGGAGCCAAUCCGAUAAAACCGUUCUCAGUUCGGAUUGUAGGCUGC
rnacentral:rRNA from 1 species